GAAUACCACUAUAGGGUGAAACCUGCUCAAUGGCUAUCAAUAAAAAAUAACAGUAGUUAAAUAGCCGCGGUAACUCUGACCGUGAUAAAGUAGCAUAAUCACUCGUCAUUUAAUUGGUGACUGGAAUGAAUGGUUACACGAAUCUUCGACUGUCUCGACAAUCAGUAGUAUGAAUUUAAAAUAGUAGUGAAGAUGCUACUUAUUAAUUGCAAGACGAAAAGACCCUAUCGAGCUUUACUAAAGACUUAAAUUUGUUGAAUAAAAGAUAAAUAUAUUUUCUAGCAAAAUUUAAGUUGAUUAGUUUGGUUGGGGCGACCACCUCUAAAAUAGUAUCAGAGGUAAUCUAAUGGUUAUUAUUAAAUUAACAAAAGCCUAACUGAAAACACACAAGUUAACCAGGUACGAACGGUAGGAUAUAAUGACCCGUUGGAAACUUCCUAAAAUCCAACGUCCAUGAAAAAAGUUACCGUAGGGAUAACAGGGUAAUAUUCCUAGAGAGUUCAUAUCGAUAGGAAUGUUUGCCACCUCGAUGUUGAAUUGCGAUAUCCUAAAGGUGCAGCAGCUUUAAAGGGUUG
rnacentral:rRNA from 1 species